rnacentral:rRNA from 1 species
CCUACGGGAGGCAGCAGUGGGGAAUAUUGCACAAUGGGGGAAACCCUGAUGCAGCGACGCCGCGUGAGUGAAGAAGUAUUUCGGUAUGUAAAGCUCUAUCAGCAGGGAAGAUAAUGACGGUACCUGAGUACGAAGCCCCGGCUAACUACGUGCCAGCAGCCGCGGUAAUACGUAGGGGGCAAGCGUUAUCCGGAUUUACUGGGUGUAAAGGGAGCGUAGACGGCAUGGCAAGUCUGAAGUGAAAGCCCGCGGCUCAACCGCGGGACUGCUUUGGAAACUGUUAGGCUGGAGUGCAGGAGAGGUAAGUGGAAUUCCUAGUGUAGCGGUGAAAUGCGUAGAUAUUAGGAGGAACACCAGUGGCGAAGGCGGCUUACUGGACUGUAACUGACGUUGAGGCUCGAAAGCGUGGGGAGCAAACAGGAUUAGAUACCCUGGUAGUC